rfam:Schistosoma mansoni strain Puerto Rico chromosome W, complete genome
AUCCAGCUGACGAGUCCCAAAUAGGACGAAACGCGCGUCCCAGAU